rnacentral:rRNA from 1 species
GUGACUGCGUACCUUUUGUAUAAUGGGUCAGCGACUUAUAUUCUGUAGCAAGGUUAACCGAAUAGGGGAGCCGAAGGGAAACCGAGUCUUAACUGGGCGUUAAGUUGCAGGGUAUAGACCCGAAACCCGGUGAUCUAGCCAUGGGCAGGUUGAAGGUUGGGUAACACUAACUGGAGGACCGAACCGACUAAUGUUGAAAAAUUAGCGGAUGACUUGUGGCUGGGGGUGAAAGGCCAAUCAAACCGGGAGAUAGCUGGUUCUCCCCGAAAGCUAUUUAGGUAGCGCCUCGUGAAUUCAUCUCCGGGGGUAGAGCACUGUUUCGGCAAGGGGGUCAUCCCGACUUACCAACCCGAUGCAAACUGCGAAUACCGGAGAAUGUUAUCACGGGAGACACACGGCGGGUGCUAACGUCCGUCGUGAAGAGGGAAACAACCCAGACCGCCAGCUAAGGUCCCAAAGUCAUGGUUAAGUGGGAAACGAUGUGGGAAGGCCCAGACAGCCAGGAUGUUGGCUUAGAAGCAGCCAUCAUUUAAAGAAAGCGUAAUAGCUCACUGGUCGAGUCGGCCUGCGCGGAAGAUGUAACGGGGCUAAACCAUGCACCGAAGCUGCGGCAGCGACACUAUGUGUUGUUGGGUAGGGGAGCGUUCUGUAAGCCUGUGAAGGUGUACUGUGAGGUAUGCUGGAGGUAUCAGAAGUGCGAAUGCUGACAUAAGUAACGAUAAAGCGGGUGAAAAGCCCGCUCGCCGGAAGACCAAGGGUUCCUGUCCAACGUUAAUCGGGGCAGGGUGAGUCGACCCCUAAGGCGAGGCCGAAAGGCGUAGUCGAUGGGAAACAGGUUAAUAUUCCUGUACUUGGUGUUACUGCGAAGGGGGGACGGAGAAGGCUAUGUUGGCCGGGCGACGGUUGUCCCGGUUUAAGCGUGUAGGCUGAUUUUCCAGGCAAAUCCGGAAAAUCAAGGCUGAGGCGUGAUGACGAGGCACUACGGUGCUGAAGCAACAAAUGCCCUGCUUCCAGGAAAAGCCUCUAAGCAUCAGGUAACAUCAAAUCGUACCCCAAACCGACACAGGUGGUCAGGUAGAGAAUACCAAGGCGCUUGAGAGAACUCGGGUGAAGGAACUAGGCAAAAUGGUGCCGUAACUUCGGGAGAAGGCACGCUGAUAUGUAGGUGAAGCGACUUGCUCGUGGAGCUGAAAUCAGUCGAAGAUACCAGCUGGCUGCAACUGUUUAUUAAAAACACAGCACUGUGCAAACACGAAAGUGGACGUAUACGGUGUGACGCCUGCCCGGUGCCGGAAGGUUAAUUGAUGGGGUUAGCGGUAACGCGAAGCUCUUGAUCGAAGCCCCGGUAAACGGCGGCCGUAACUAUAACGGUCCUAAGGUAGCGAAAUUCCUUGUCGGGUAAGUUCCGACCUGCACGAAUGGCGUAAUGAUGGCCAGGCUGUCUCCACCCGAGACUCAGUGAAAUUGAACUCGCUGUGAAGAUGCAGUGUACCCGCGGCAAGACGGAAAGACCCCGUGAACCUUUACUAUAGCUUGACACUGAACAUUGAGCCUUGAUGUGUAGGAUAGGUGGGAGGCUUUGAAGUGUGGACGCCAGUCUGCAUGGAGCCGACCUUGAAAUACCACCCUUUAAUGUUUGAUGUUCUAACGUUGGCCCGUGAUCCGGGUUGCGGACAGUGUCUGGUGGGUAGUUUGACUGGGGCGGUCUCCUCCUAAAGAGUAACGGAGGAGCACGAAGGUUGGCUAAUCCUGGUCGGACAUCAGGAGGUUAGUGCAAUGGCAUAAGC